GCCAUAGCUCAGUGGGAGAGCAUCUGCCUUGCAUGCACAAGGUUCCGGGUUCAAUCCCUAGCAUCUCCA